UACAGAGGGGGUAAGCGUUGUCCGGAUUUACUGGGCGUACAGCGCGCGCAGGCGGAACUGGACGUGCCGUGUGACAAACCACCGCUCACCGGUGGAGGGCCACGGUACACGACAGUUCUGGAGGCAGGGAGAGGGAUGUGGAAUGCCCGGUGGAGCGGUGAAAUGCGUAGAGAUCGGGCGGAACACCAGCGGCGAAGGCGGCAUCCUGGCCCUGACCUGACGCUGAGGCGCGAGAGCGUGGGGAGCAAACUGG
rnacentral:rRNA from 1 species